rnacentral:misc_RNA from 1 species
AAAGUCGUAACAAGGUUUCCGUAGGUGAACCUGCGGAAGGAUCAUUAGUGAAUUGCUCUCUGAGCGUUAAACUAUAUCCAUCUACACCUGUGAACUGUUGAUUGACUUCGGUCAAUUACUUUUACAAACAUUGUGUAAUGAACGUCAUGUUAUUAUAACAAAAAUAACUUUCAACAACGGAUCUCUUGGCUCUC